GACGAACCGUGCAAACGUUGUUCGGAAUCACUGGGCUUAAAGGGCGCGUAGGCGGGGGACCAAGUCCGGGGUGAAAUCUUUCGGCUCAACCGGAAAACUGCCUUGGAUACUGGUCUUCUAGAGGGAGGUAGGGGCAGGUGGAACUUCCGGUGGAGCGGUGAAAUGCGUUGAUAUCGGAAGGAACGCCGGUGGCGAAAGCGGCCUGCUGGAUCUCUUCUGACGCUGAGUGCGCGAAAGCUAGGGGAGCGAACGGG
rnacentral:rRNA from 1 species